UACGUAGGGUGCGAGCGUUAAUCGGAAUUACUGGGCGUAAAGGGUGCGCAGGCGGUCCUGCAAGUCAGGCGUGAAAUCCCCGGGCUUAACCUGGGAAUGGCACUUGAAACUACGGGACUGGAGUAUGGCAGAGGGAGGUGGAAUUCCACGUGUAGCGGUGAAAUGCGUAGAGAUGUGGAGGAACACCGAUGGCGAAGGCAGCCUCCUGGGCCAAUACUGACGCUCAUGCACGAAAGCGUGGGAGCAACAGG
rnacentral:rRNA from 1 species